UGCGGAAGGAUCAUUGUCGAAACCUGCCUAGCAGAAUGACUUGUGAACAUAUUAAUCCCUCACAGGUGCAGUGGUGUCGUAGGUUCCUCAUGCCUGCACAUGCCACUCUCCUGAGCCGGGUACCUCCCAUUAGUGGGUUGUUGCCUUGGCACAUCAACGAACCCCGACGCGAAAAGCGUCAAGGAAAAUAAAUCAGUGCUCUUGUUCUGUGCUCGGUAAGCCGGCGCAUGGGUGGACGCUUGUAUUAAAAUGAACGACUCUCGGCAACGGAUAUCUCGGCUCUCGCAUCGAUGAAGAACGUAGCGAAAUGCGAUACUUGGUGUGAAUUGCAGAAUCCCGUGAACCAUCGAGUCUUUGAACGCAAGUUGCGCCUGAGGCCAUUGGCUAAGGGCACGUCUGCCUGGGCGUCACGCAUUGUAUCUCCCCCAUAGAACUCUGAUUUGGGGUAGGAGGAUGGCUUCCCGUGCCUUAGCGGGUGCGGUUGGCCUAAAUUUGAAGCCAAAAGCAUCGUCCUUUUGCGGUGAUAGGUGGUGAACAAGGCUUUGACCAUGCUAACAACCUGCCGUCUGGGACAUUGCCAUUGGAUGACCCUUCAAUGUUGCCUAGUCUCCUACAGUUGUGA
rnacentral:rRNA from 1 species